GGCAGUAGAGACCCACCGACGCUGCUGUCUCGGUCUGACUCGCGGGAGAGCUGCCCUGGAGGAGACGCUGAGGCUGACCUAGGGUUACCUUCCUGUCAGCGGACUUCCUGCUGGUUGGCAGACUCACCCAUGAAUCCCAGAAAGAAUGAGUGGAGGUCUUGCAACUGUGACGAAUGCUGUUAACUGAGGGCCUCGGGCUGCAGCAGAAGUACAAGUUCUUACAAUGGAAGAACUUGGAGAAACCACAGAAGAAACACUAAUAAAAGAGUAGAGAUGAAUGGAAAUGUGACAUGGAAACCAAACCUUGCAGUAAGAGAUGGUCAGAUGACAUUGAAAAAGAAAUGAGAGGAUGCAAGACAGCCACUCUCUAGAAGUACUGCUUAUUCAAUAGUCUGAAUAAUGUGGAGGAACACGAAAUAGUAAAAAUGUGUUACAGCUGAGAGUCUUACAAUGUAAGCGAAUGUGAAUUAAGUGCUAAAUACAUAAAAUAAAUAUGAGACUAGUGGCACCUUCUGUAACUCACAUCACUGCGGGAGCUUUUAAGAGCUGCUAAUAAAAUAA